rnacentral:tRNA from 1 species
GCGAGUGUAGCCAAGUGGUUAAGGCAGUGGUUUGUGGUACCACCAUUCGAGGGUUCAAGUCCCUUCAUUCGCCC